AAUACUGAGGCCACCAAAAUGGACCCCCAUCAACACUUACACUGCGCCUAGAAAUUGCCAAUGUCCGUAAUGUUUAUGAACAGAAUCGAUGACAAAGGGCAGCCUUGGCGGAGUCCAACCCUCACUGGAAACGAUUCUGACUUACUGCCGGUAAUGUGAACCAAAUUCUGACAUCUGUGGUGGAGGGACCAAAGUGCCCGCAUCAGGGGACUCGGUACCUCAUACUCCUGAAGCAAUCAUAUAAUGUAAUAUCGUACUCAAAUGUGUAAUGCAUAGAUUUUUAUUCUGGGUGAGGGAAUUUUCGUUUGACAGAAGUCAAUAGAUGGCAAUACUUACUGUAAUUAUGUUUCAUUGAACAAUUAUAAUAUUUAAGUCUGGUUUAAAAAAUAUGAACAGGUAUAUACAUUUGUGUUAUUACAGUUGCUGAAACAUAUAGAUGUUGCUUGAAAUUUAUCAUGCUCCCCUCAAAACAGACCGCAUAGUAAAAUAAAAGUUAAAGGCUGAGCAAUUUUAGUUUAUCGUUGGCCAUGAAGGGGGGAGGGGCUGUUCCCAGCUCCAAACCCUCGCAGUUGCACUGUUUGAACCUAGUUUAUUCAGCUCCCCUCCCCCACACUAGUUUGAGCACGUGAUCAACUAGGAGCGCGGUUCAUACAGCAGCAACAAAGCUUUGCAAGAAGAGUUGAGUGUUGCAGUCGUGUCCCCAGAAAAUCUAAUUCGUUUUUUUCUGCUUUGGACAUCGAAACUGUAUAAUACGAAUUGCAUCCAAUAAGUAAAUAAUAAUGAUGUUUCAUCACAAUUCCAUAUUAGCAUUUGGGAAUAAUGUUGCUUUCAGAACAAUUACAAUAUUUUAAGUCGUUUUUAAAAUAUGUGUGUGUGUAUAUACUGUAUAUAUAUACAGUAUGUAUAUACACACACAUGUAUAUAUGCUGUGCUCAUUUUAGGAGUACAUGACAUUGGUGUAAACAAGAGUUCAUAAAAUAUGUUGAUAUUGCUUGACAUUUACUAUGCCCCACUUCAAAACGGACCUCAGAGGAAAAGUGAAGGAGUUUUGGUUAUGAAGGGGCGGGGCUGUUUUCACACCCCAAAACGUCACAGUUACGUUGCAGGAAACGAGUUUCUACAGCUACCCUCCCCCACAUCACACUCGCUGACCAUCAAUUAGGAAACGCGCGCUUUGCUACCUGCACAAAAGGAAGGCGUUGAGAAGAGUGAGCGUACGAGUCAGCAUCAUCGAGAAAACCCCAGAAAGUGACAAAUACUUCAGAAUUAAAGCAGAUGGACAAUCCCACUGAAGAUGGUGAUUAUUCUGACUCAAGUCUUUUUGGAUCAGAUGAGGAAUACAAACCAACUAAGACAUCCUCUGAGUCGAGUGAUGACGAGGAGAUAUUCCAUCCAAAGGUAGAAAAAUUGUUCUUAUGAUACAUCCAGUGAAGACUCUACAAGUCAUCAGACAUAUGAAGCAGAGGAGCACAGUCAUGUCUGCAAUUCGUAAAGAAGCCCCAAAAAGGGAAAAGCAUCUCUCCAAAAGAGGGAAGACUGAAUUGGAUGAUUCGAGUCCAGGCGGGGACCCUGGCGGUCCGAUCCUUGGCUGCAGAAGCUAGCUCUUGGGACAUGGAAUGUCACCUCUCUGGCAGGGAAGGAGCCCGAGCUGGUGUGUGAGGCAGAGAAUUUCCGACUGGAUAUAGUCGGACUUGCCUCCACACACAGCCUGGGUUCUGGUACCAGUUCUCUCGAGAGGGGUUGGACUCUCUUCCACUCUGGAGUUGCUCACGGUGAGAGGCGCAGAGCAGGUGUGGGCAUACUCAUUGCCCCCCGCCUCAGUGCCUGUACAUUGGGGUUCACACCGGUAGACGAGAGGGUUGCCUCCCUCCGCCUUCGGGUGGGUGGACGGGUCCUGACUGUUGUUUGUGCAUAUGCACCAAACAGCAGCUCAGCAUACCCACCCUUUUUGGAGUCCUUGGAGGGUGUGCUGGAGAGUACUCCUGCUGGGGACUCCAUUGUUCUGCUGGGGGACUUCAAUGCUCACGUGGGCAAUGACAGUGAUACCUGGAGGGGCGUGAUUGGGAGGAACGGCCCCCCCGAUCAAAACCCGAGUGGUGUUUUGUUAUUGGACUUCUGUGCUCGUCACGGAUUGUCCAUAACGAACACCUUGUUCAAACAUAAGGGUGUCCAUAUGUGCACUUGGCACCAGGACACCCUAGGCCGCAGUUCGAUGAUCGACUUUGUAGUUGUAUCAUCGGAUUUGCGGCCGCAUGUUCUGGACACUCGGGUGAAGAGAGGGGCGGAGCUGUCAACUGAUCACCACCUGGUGGUGAGUAGGCUCCAAUGGUGAGGGAAGAUGCCGGUCCGUCCUGGCAGACCCAAACGUAUAGUGAGGGUUUGUUGGGAGCGUCUGGCGGAAUCCCCUGUCAGAAGGAGUUUCAACUCCCACCUCCGACAGAGCUUUUCCCAUGUUCCGGGGGAGACGGGGGACAUUGAGUCCGAGUGGACCAUGUUCCGUGCCUCUAUUGUUGAGGCGGCCAAUCUGAGUUGUGGCCGUAAGGUGGUUGGUGCCUGUCGUGGCGGCAAUCCCCGUACUCGCUGGUGGACACCAGCAGUAAGGGAUGCCGUCAAGCUGAAGAAGGAGUCCUAUCGAGCCUUUAUGGCCUGUGGGACCCCAGAGGCAGCUGACGGGUAUCGACUGGCCAAGCGGACCGCGGCUUCGGUGUUCGCCGAGGCAAAAACCCGAGCGUGGGAAGAGUUCGGUGAGGCCAUGGAAGCGGACUUCCGGACGGCUUCGAGGAAAUUCUGGUCCACCAUCCGACGUCUCAGGAGGGGGAAGCAGUGCACCACUAACACUGUGUACAGUGGGGAUGGGGCGCUGCUGACUUCGACUCGGGACGUUGUGAACCGGUGGGCAGAGUACUUCGAAAGACCUCCUCAACUCCACCAACACGCCUUCCUUGGAGGAAGCAGAGCCUGGGGACUCUGAGGUGGGCUCUCCUAUCUCUGUGGUUGAAGUCACCGAUGUGGUUAAAAAGCUCCUCGGUGGCAAGGCCCCAGGGGUGGAUGAGAUCCGCCCGGAGUUCCUCAAGGCUCUGGAUGUUGUGGGGCUGUCCUGGUUGACACGCCUCUGCAACAUCGCGUGGUCAACAGGGAGAGUGCCUCUGGAUUGGCAGACCGGGGUGGUAGUCCCUCUUUUUAAAAAGGGGGACCGGAGGGUGUGUUCCAACUACAGAGGGAUCACACUCCUCAGCCUCCCUGGUAAGGUCUAUUCAGGGGUGCUGGAGAGGAGGGUCCGUCAGGAAGUCGAGCCUCCAAUUGAGGAGGAGCAGUGUGGUUUUCGUCCCGGCCGUGGAACAGUGGACCAGCUCUACACCCUUAGCAGGGUCCUUGAGGGUAUGUGGGAAUUCGCCCAACCAGUCUACAUGUGUUUUGUGGACUUGGAGAAGGCGUUUGACCGUGUCCCUCGGGGAGUUCUGUGGGGGGUGCUUCGUGGGUAUGGGGUACCGAACCCCCUGAUACGGGCUGUUCGGUCACUAUACCACCGAUGUCAGAGUUUGGUUCGCAUUGCCAGCAGUAAGUCGGAAUCGUUUCCAGUGGG